GACGAACGCUGGCGGCGUGCUUAACACAUGCAAGUCGAACGGAAAGGCCUUUUCGGAGGUACUCGAGUGGCGAACGGGUGAGUAACACGUGGGUGAUCUGCCCUUCACUCUGGGAUAAGCCUGGGAAACUGGGUCUAAUACCGGAUAGGACCGCUCUUUAGUGUGUGUGGUGGAAAGUGUUUUCGGUGUAGGAUGAGCCCGCGGCCUAUCAGCUUGUUGGUGGGGUAAUGGCCUACCAAGCCGGGGACGGGUAGCCGGACUGAGGGGUUGGUCGGCCACCCUGAGACUUAGGGGCGGCACAGGCACGGAAGGGUGGGAGAUGUGGGGAAGAUUGACGGAGGAGCGCCGGCUUGGUGAAGAGAGGCCGCGUGGGGGAUGACGGUCUUCGGGUUGAAAACUACUUUCGCAAGGAACGAAGCGUUUUGUGACGGUACCUGGAGAAGAAGCACCGGCUAACUACGUG
rnacentral:rRNA from 1 species